GCCUGAGUGGUGGAAUUGGUAGACGCGCUGGCUUCAGGAGCCAGUGGGGGCAACUCCGUGGAAGUUCGAGUCUUCUCUCAGGCACCA
rnacentral:tRNA from 1 species